UUCGAGAAAUUUGGGGACUGUUGAUUUAACUUUUUUAAAAAGUUUUUUUGAUGGAAACCAAUUUAAUCGCAGUGGCUUGAACCGGGCAAAAGUCGUAACAAGGUAGCUGUAGGUGAACCUGCUGCUGGAUCAUUA
rnacentral:rRNA from 1 species